GCGAAUAGUUAUCGGGCUCUUUUGGUGUAUUAGCUAUAUGUCGUCGCUAAAUUACUUUUCACGAUUAUUCAGCCAAUGAGAAAAUAACGUGAGUAUAACUCC
rnacentral:antisense_RNA from 1 species